rnacentral:rRNA from 1 species
AGCGCAGGUGGUUUAUUAAGUCUGGUGUAAAAGGCAGUGGCUCAACCAUUGUAUGCAUUGGAAACUGGUAGACUUGAGUGCAGGAGAGGAGAGUGGAAUUCCAUGUGUAGCGGUGAAAUGCGUAGAUAUAUGGAGGAACACCGGUGGCGAAAGCGGCUCUCUGGCCUGUAACUGACACUGAGGACUCGAAAGGCUGGGAAGCAAACA